rnacentral:sRNA from 1 species
UUGUGUGUGAGGAGCAAGUUUAAAAAAACGUCUGGGGUGGAAACACGGCAACACUCCCAGGCGUUUUUUAAU